rnacentral:lncRNA from 1 species
AUGUUUCUUCUAAUCAUGUCAAUCAGUUACACCUGCCGCAUAUCUAGAACAGAAGGACUCACUUCUCACACACUCAACGUCGGUUGGUUCAUUGUCUGUUGGCUCCGGAGGAAGUCGUGGGUAGAGGGAAAACAACACAAUUUCAGCUUUUUGCUCGUCGAAAAUCAAAUAUCUUUGCAGUCGGGAGCAGAUGUGUGUUUUGUGCAGCUGUGACCCGCAUUGAAAUGGGAUCACAGUUAGAUGGUGACUGAAGACACUCAGAUGCUGCUCUUCCGUGCCUGUCAGCUAUGCUGAAUGGCUGUUAAUGCUGUAAUUGCAGAGUGUGUCUGAUAGCGGUGACAUUUACUCACAGCCAGCCGUGCCCUUUAAUGCUCUCCUUUCUCCUGUGUGCGGCUGGCACGGCAUCAUAUCAUAUGGAGGCUCGAUCCUCCUUCUUCUUCAUCUUAAUGGUUAUCGUACCUAAAACAUCUCUCUAAUGGUCUGUAGCCCUGAGAAGGCGAGAAAUGAGUGAAACGCUAGAGGACACACACUCCUGAGGCGUCUUUCCUCUCACAGAUGGUUGGUGGGACCUCUGGCUAUGUGUUGCCACAGGGUUCUUCCAUUGUUUCUCUGCCUGCUUCCUCCACAUUACCCUUGGAUCCCGCUCUAGAAAUCACAAUUUAUCACAUUUAUCCAGACACGCAUAAUUAUUAUUAUUAUUGUAUGGGUCAUAUACUGUCCUUAACACUAUAGUGUGCACACAGCUUCUACACACAUCACAAAUAACCUGCAUGCAUUAGUUUCAUUUGUGUACCAGUACAUCCAGUGCGCUGCUACUGGGUGGACAACAUUCGAUUUGAAAUUCCAGUAGCAUGUGCUCCACAACAGCUCAGUGCCACAUAAUUACCACGUUGGGGGCUUUUGCGUGUCACACCUCCCCGCGCUCCCUCCCGAUGUUUCCUGUUUGCCUCUCUGCAAAUUAGUGUCACUAUGGGCAAAUGUACCAAAAAUAAAAAUAAAGUUUUAGUAUUCUGUCA